rnacentral:misc_RNA from 1 species
AUAGAGGGAGAGAAAAGCAAGUUAUCUUUGCUGUUUCAUUACAUCAUGCUAUGGGUUGGUUUUGAUUAAAUCUAUCACAUCGUAACAAGAGGCUGUGUUAUAUAGAGUGUGUCCUCCCUGAUAUAGGGUAUUGAUCCGUGAUCUAAUUUAAGUGAUUCAGAAUUCUUAGAAAGCAUGGGAGAACCAAACCAACAAGCAACAUCUUUGGAUUAUGCCAAAGACUGUGCCAAUGAUGACUCUAACCCCCGGGAUGGCGGGGACCUGGGGUGUUGUGGGUACAUUCUGUGGUUCCUGUCCCUAGUGGUUAUAGCUCUGACUUUCCCAUUCUCACUCUGCCUGUGUAUUAAGGUAGUCCAAGAGUAUGAGAGAGCAGUUAUAUUUAGACUGGGUCGACUAAUUGCAGGAGGUGCCAAAGGACCAGGUCUUUUUUUCAUCAUCCCUUGCAUUGACUCUUAUACAAAAGUUGAUAUCAGAACCGUCUCCUUUGAUGUUCCCCCUCAAGAGGUCCUAACUAAAGACUCGGUAACAGUGGCGGUUGAUGCGGUGGUGUAUUACCGUGUCCAGAAUGCUACAAUGUCAAUCACAAAUGUGGAGGAUUCCAACAGAUCCACUCGGCUGCUUGCAGCUACCACACUCAGAAAUGUUCUAGGGACCAAGAAUCUCAGCGAGAUUCUGUCAGAAAGAGAGACAAUUAGUCACUACAUGCAGGGUAAUUUAGAUGAGUGUACGGAUCCCUGGGGUAUUCGAGUAGAGAGGGUAGAAAUAGUUCACUGGAUGAGGGAACAGACCCCUGGGGGGUAAAAUGUGAACGUGUCGAAAUUAAAGAUGUCCGGCUUCCAGUGCAGUUACAGAGAGCCAUGGCUGCUGAGGCAGAGGCAGCCAGAGAGGCCAGGGCCAAGGUUAUUGCAGCAGAGGGAGAACAGAAGGCAUCUAGGUCGCUGAAAGAAGCCGCUGAGGUCCUCACAGAGGCCCCCGCCGCUCUCCAGCUCCGAUACCUACAGACCCUCAACACAAUCUCCGCAGAGAAGAACUCUACCAUCAUAUUCCCCCUGCCCAUAGACUUGCUACAGUCUUUUAUGUCUCGCCAGGAGAGCUAGACCAAGCUGUGACAUCAAUCAUAAUGUUAUAAGUAACAUUUUUUACAAUACUACACAUGUAUUGCAAAAUCAAAUGCUGCAGUGUUAAUUAUUGGGACAUUAUGCAUUGAUAUUUGUGGGUUUUUAAUGCAUCUUUGUAUGUAAAAGACAUGUGAUGUUGAGAAUAUCUCACUCAUCAAGAUGCUGAUAAUCAAGACUAUAAGACAAUAUCUCUUAGAAUAAUAAGAUUUCAUCUAUAAUAAUCUUUGUUUUAAAUAUGCUGUGAAAUUAAGCAGUCUGCAACCUUAGAUGGCAAACAGUUGAUUUUCAGAUAGCUUUGAUAGAAAUUAACUGAGUAAAUUGGGAAAAGAAAUUUCCCUCCAAGGAGUGAUGUACGUGCCUGUCUUCCUUCCAUAACAUUGACAACUCUCUGGAAUAGUCUGGUAAUUAAAAUGACUUGUAUACACAGGAUGUGUAUGUAUGUGGUUCUCUAUGUUUUUUAUGUUGCAUUACAACUGCAAUAUAAGAAAGUUGGUACAUAUGUAUCUACAAGUUAUAGUUAUAUAGGCACAAUAGGAUAGAAAAAUGUCAAAAGUUCAGUUGCAAAGGGAAAUUGCUUUCAGACAUAAAGUAUAUACAUGUGUUAUUGUGGUGCAAUAUACAUGUGAAAUGUAUUUUAAAAUUACUGUAAUUGUUUUUAUUGGUACAAUUCACGCUAAUAUUUACUAGUAAAAUUAUUUAUUCAUAAAAUAAUUAAAUAUACCAUAAUAACAGAGCCAUAUCGCCCUAAUACAUGUUCAAUUUAAUAUAUAUACUGUAAUAGCAUUUUUGUAUGCAAAGUACACAUAAUUUAUAAGUAUUCAAUGUAGUAUGUAUGUUUACUGCUGUAUGCCAUUCAAACACCAUUUUCAACAGUUAUAUGUUAAAAAAGGUUAUUAUCACAAUUGAGUUUACCAAUCAUAUAGAAAUAUGGAUAAAAUUUUGAUAGCUUUUAUGAUGAUAAUACAUUAUAGCUGUGCAAACAAAAUUUUUGCUUUAUAGAGCCAUAUUUUGUUUUGUAUUUUUUUAUAAUCAACAUGGUUGCACUUCGUUAUUCCUGAUAGGGAUGUCAAUUCAUGCUAUUUUUUUUACUCAUCUAAUUAACCUAUUGAUAGACUGGUAUACCGACCUAAGAAAUACUCCUGGUUAAUAAGUUCAAAUAAGGGGGAAAUGCAAGUACACUGUACUUGGUAACGUUCAUAAUGAAAUUUUCACAUAAUUAAUUAAGUUCACUCAACAAUCAAAAUCUUUUGACAAGGCUGUCACUAUUACCAUAGUGACUACAGAAAAAUUCCCUACAAGUAUCUACAGGAUGUGUUAUAUAUACCAGUAAAUGGAUUUACAAAUUGCACAUUGUUCCUUUAUUAACCUAUGUAUAAAAUUAAGAAUAUAAAAUAUUUCCUGUAAUAUAACCCUGAGCCAUUGAGACAAGGAAAGAAAUUUCAUCUGCAAUUUAAUGUAAGACCAUUCUAUCCUGUUUUUCUACAUGCAACUACGUCUUAUUUGAUUUUGAAGUUUGACAUUUUUGUUUUAAAUUCUUCCCCCUUUUAGUAUUACAACAUUCAUAAUGUAUUGGUUUUGUUUUGAAGAUCAUUAAAAAUGAUAGACCAGCUU